UGGGGAAUAUUGCGCAAUGGGGGAAGCCCUGACGCAGCAACGCCGCGUGAAGGAAGAAGGUUUUCGGAUUGUAAACUUCAGCAAGCAGGGAAGAAAUAAAUGACGGUACCUGAACAAAAGCCACGGCUAACUACGUGCCAGCAGCCGCGGUAAUACGUAGGUGGCAAGCGUUGUCCGGAUUUACUGGGUGUAAAGGGCGCGUAGGCGGGCAUGUAAGUCAGACGUGAAAUACCGGGGCUCAACCCCGGGGCUGCGUUUGAAACUGCAAGUCUUGAGUGCCGGAGAGGAAAGCGGAAUUCCUAGUGUAGCGGUGAAAUGCGUAGAUAUUAGGAGGAACACCAGUGGCGAAGGCGGCUUACUGGACGGUAACUGACGUUGAGGCUCGAAAGCGUGGGGAGCAAACAGGAUUAGAUACC
rnacentral:rRNA from 1 species